rnacentral:rRNA from 1 species
CCUACGGGAGGCAGCAGUGAGGAAUAUUGGACAAUGGGCGCAAGCCUGAUCCAGCCAUGCCGCGUGCAGGAAGACGGUCCUAUGGAUUGUAAACUGCUUUUAUACAGGAAGAAACGCCUCUACGUGUAGAGACUUGACGGUACUGUAUGAAUAAGCAUCGGCUAACUCCGUGCCAGCAGCCGCGGUAAUACGGAGGAUGCAAGCGUUAUCCGGAAUCAUUGGGUUUAAAGGGUCCGUAGGCGGUUUAAUAAGUCAGUGGUGAAAGCCCAUCGCUCAACGAUGGAACGGCCAUUGAUACUGUUAAACUUGAAUUAUUAGGAAGUAACUAGAAUAUGUAGUGUAGCGGUGAAAUGCUUAGAGAUUACAUGGAAUACCAAUUGCGAAGGCAGGUUACUACUAAUAUAUUGACGCUGAUGGACGAAAGCGUGGGGAGCGAACAGGAUUAGAUACCCUGGUAGUCCACGCCGUAAACGAUGGAUACUAGCUGUUCGGAGCAAUCUGAGUGGNGUAGAGAAGAGAGUAAGUAUACCACCGUCGGGAGGUACGUUACGUCGAAGAAGAGAAACGUAACAAAUAGUAAGUUAGUACGGACGUGAGACGUUACGCCGACGGACGGACGACGAGGGGAGGGUAGGGAG